rnacentral:rRNA from 1 species
AGUGAACGCUGGCGGUAGGCCUAACACAUGCAAGUCGAACGGCAGCACAGGAGAGCUUGCUCUCUAGGUGGCGAGUGGCGGACGGGUGAGGAAUACAUCGGAAUCUGCCCAGUCGUGGGGGAUAACGUAGGGAAACUUACGCUAAUACCGCAUACGACCUUCGGGUGAAUGAGGGGGAUCGCAAGACCUCUCGCGAUUGGAUGAGCCGAUGUCGGAUUGGCUAGUUAGCGGGGUAAUGGCCCACCAAGGCGACGAUCCGUAGCUGGUCUGAGAGGAUGAUCAGCCACACUGGAACUGAGACACGGUCCAUACUCCUACGGGAGGCAGCAGUGGGGAAUAUUGGACAAUGGGCGCAAGCCUGAUCCAGCCAUACCGCGUGGGUGAAGAAGGCCUUCGGGUUGUAAAGCCCUUUUGUUGGGAAAGAAAUCUUUCAGGCUAAUACCCUGGGAGGACGACGGUACCCAAAGAAUAAGCACCGGCUAACUUCGUG